UGGAUGAAUGAUUCUGAGGGUUGUAUAUACGGCUACGUCCCCCCAUCCCCGAGUAUAUUGAAGCUCUGGGGCAAUAUACAACAGCAGUCCAUACAGUGGGUGGCCUCAUCACACUGGCCUUCCUCAUAUUCUACUGUGAGCACAUCAUUUUCACCUACCGGGACACCCACACUGUCUACCGCAGGCACAUUAACUGGAUAGCCUGUUUCUACCCGGUUGGAGCCUUGAUGACCUCAUUGGCUCUCAUUGUGCCCCGGGCUCAUGAUGCCUGCACAGCUAUAAAGAUGAUCUUCUUCUCCCUGGGGGCGCGACACUUC